rnacentral:lncRNA from 1 species
CAUCACUACUCUAAAUCUACUUAAGGACACAUUAUGGGUUGUGCAAAGUUAGGGCAUGAAGUGUACUUGGUGGGAGUGUCCGUACAUCUGAGGGAACGUGAAGUGGAAGGAAGAUGGACGAGUGAAGACACUGAUAUAUGGAGAAGGUUUGAGAACGGAUCAGACCGUUUAGAGAUAAGGUUGAGACGCGCCUUAUCUAUCCAGGCUUGGACAGGCUGUAAAGCCGGAAGCAUGUGAACAUCUUGGUCCGUCCAUUUCAAAAGAAUCCUUAUUCUUUACGUGAAAACCCUAGUGCUUCUCCUAUAUAAGUUGUAAACCCAUCUCUUAAUAAGAUUAGACAGUUCUAUCCAAUUAAUCACUCUACUCUUUCAUAAUGAUUCCUCACUAGUCAUCUAAUCACAUAAUCAUCUCCUUAUUCAUCCUAAAUCAUUCUACUCUUUCGCAUACAAACUCAGAUUAUCUAAAACUCUUAUGCUCCACAGCCUGGGCAUUGUAGUACACUCUCGUGUUUACCCAGUUGGAAGGAUCCCUCUUUACCCUUGUGCUCCUCCUCAAAGCUUGAACCUGAUCUUCAGUUUGCACACUAGCCGGCUCCACUUGCUCUUCUUCUGAACUGGCUGGUCCG